GAGGGGUAUGGGACUGGCGUCCCGGCUGGUCUGCAAAACCAGUAUAACGGUAAAGGAUUUUGCUGUGGUGGGUUCAAUUCCCACUACCCCUCUCCA
rnacentral:tRNA from 1 species